CAUCUAACGCUGCUGAGGAUUCAGCUUGCCAAUUUAUCUAUCGCCCACCAAGUGAUUCAUAAAUAUAUAAAUAGGUCUACUUAAAUACUUAAGUGGUGGUAAUCUGAACUGAACUCCCACAACAAAACAGAGAUCAAAAAAUUAACACGUUGAGCCCUCUGACCAAGGUUUUUUUAAACAUUAAACUUCCACAUAAAAAACAUUAUUCGUGGUAGUAAGCUACAUUUUGCAAUGCCGAAUCCUUUGCUAAAAAGCCCAGAUACGCUGCAAGUUGGUGUCCUAAACUGUGAUGUAGAAGAGAGAAAUGAUGCCAAGAAGGAAAGCUUCUCUUUGCUCUGGGAAGACCUGACUGUGGAAGUGAGGCGGCAAGAGAGGACAAGGUUGCUGGAAUGGAAUAGCAUCUCUCAUGAGAGUUAUGAAAUGCAGCAUCAAGAUACUUUCCUUGUGCAAAGAUCUCCUACCUUGAAGAUACAAAUUGGCAGACUUGGAGAAAAAAUGAAACUGUAUCACCUUCCCUACCAGAAUGUGCUCCCCGUACCUUUGUUCACACCGAGCAAAUUACCAAGCAAGCAUCAGUGUGCACCUCAAGAAUGCAAAGUCAGAACAGAGGUCUGCACGACUGGCCCUGCUACUGGGGGGAGAAGGGCCAAACAAAUUACAAGCAAUCUUCAGACCUCCAAGCCAAGUCUCCAUAUUUCUGGCCUUAUAGCUCAACAAAAUGUGCAGUGCCCAUCACUGCUCUAAUUAGUAGCACACCAUAGCUAGGAUUUAUCUCACCAUAUUUAUGAUUUGUGGCUUUAGGUACUUCAUACGGCUGCUCCAGGGAAGCUCAGUUUUAGAACUAAACGAUCCCAUCUUUAAACGAUUUCUACAUGUGUCUCUGGUGCCAGACAACUUGUCAGUGGUGUUGCAAUUGGACGAGGAUGUUCAACUCUAUGCACAUCAAAGCUGCAUUCAGCCAGUUCGGUGAGACCCUUGCAAUGCUGACCGGGUUGUACAUCCAGAUGGCUGCUUUUGUGUCCCUUGUUGGGUCAGGGCAAUCAACAUGAUCGGCAUUGUUUGCCAGGAUCCAAAUGUUCUGGGUGAGGAAGAAGUUUGCAUUCAGAAUCUUGACACCUCGCAAUUCAGGUGGAUUACGCAAGAAUCAGUUCCUAUGUUUUGCCACCAACUCUAAACAAAUCAUUAAUUUAAAAUAUUGGCCUGUGCCCUGUGCUUUUCACCUCCUAUCUACCUUUACACCAUCCACAUGUGGUUGUUCUGUGGAAGGAGUCCUGCUUUGCUGGAAGAAGAAAACACAACAGGAUUAUUCUGCAUCUAGAAAAAAUAGAAUUUUUCUUAAAUCAUCCUAGCUAGAACCUAAAGUGUAUGUGUGAUGGAACGAUGAGUUCAACACUGCUUAUGGUUAUGGUCUAAAAACAGAAACAUUUUGAUGUGCAAAAAGCAGGCAAGGGAAUCCAAAUGAUUUAUGAUCAAUUCAAAUGUGAAGGUUAAACCAGUCCGAAGAACAGAGAAUAAAGAUGUGGCCAAGGAAAGGAGUGUUGUCUGAGCUUUGUUACAUAAGUCGCCAAUAUAAACAACAGACGUUUCCAGGCUGCUCAAGUUACGUGAGGGACUGUCUGGCGUCUGGGCUGCCCAGAAGCUUGGCUUUGUGCCCAUUAUUCCUUGGAGACCUUGGGCAUAUUGAACACUUUGCAAACAUUAUCCUACAGUGUUCUCUUUUAACACAGUACAUACUUUGUGAAUAUUGUUCCAGGGUUAACCAGGAGGUCCAGUACACAUACCACACCUUACAGCAGAUGUUGUCAAACUCUGGAUCAGGACUCAGAGGUGGAUUGCAACUUUUUUGUACAUGGAUCACGAAAGUCAAAACAGGAGGAAUAGUGUAAGCUGGGAGAAUGGGAGUUAAGGGGCAAAAUUAAGUCUGCCUGCAUAACAUGCCAUUAUGGCCAUGGGAUACUGCUUUUUGCUCAGUAACUACAUAUAUUUAGAAAUGCAACACAUGAAAAAUAGAAUCUAAACUUGUUCAGUGUUAACGGAUGUGAGAUUCUUGCAUUUUAUGUUGGAGAGUGGGAAGUAGCGUGGAUUUGCUUAGCAAGAAAAGAAGUUUAGAAGUAGGUUCUGCCUCAACAAGUUUGAAGACCGCUGCCUGAUGGAACGCAGAGCAAGUGAAGAGGGAGGACCAGAAUGUGGAAAAGGCAGAGCAACGAUGAAGAAAAAUGUGGACAACCGCUGGAGAAAAAGGGGGAGUGGAAGGACCAGAGAGCGGAACAAGGGUAAGAAAGCACAUACGCACCAAUGUUCACCAAGAGACGAAAAGUAGACAGCAUCUGUGGGGCUCUGUCUGCAAGAAACAUCUGAAGUCUAUUCUUCAACAGUGGACAUUGGAAUAGGAACGAUGUGGGUUUUAUGUUUUCUUGAAUUUAUUAAAAAUUGUCAGUUAUUUGG